GUUGCAUAUCAAUAAGCGGAGGAAAAGAAACCAACAGGGAUUGCCCCAGUAGCGGCGAGUGAAGCGGCAAGAGCUCAGAUUUGAAAUCGUGUUUCGGCACGAGUUGUAGAGUGUAGGCGGGAGUCUCUGUGGAGCGCGGUGUCCAAGUCCCUUGGAACAGGGUGCCUGAGAGGGUGAGAGCCCCGUAGGGUGCUGCGCGAAGCUUUUGAGGCCCUGCUGACGAGUCGAGUUGUUUGGGAAUGCAGCUCCAAGCGGGUGGUAAAUUCCAUCUAAGGCUAAAUAUUGGCGAGAGACCGAUAGCGAACAAGUACUGUGAAGGAAAGAUGAAAAGCACUUUGAAAAGAGAGUGAAACAGCACGUGAAAUUGUUGAAAGGGAAGGGUAUUGGGCUCGACAUGGGGGGUGCGCACCGCUGUCUCUUGUAGGCGGCGCUCUGGGCGCCCUCUGGGCCAGCAUCGGUUCCUGCUGCGGGAGAAGGGGCUUCGGAAAGUGGCUCUUCGGAGUGUUAUAGCCGGGGCCAGAUGCCGCGUGUGGGGACCGAGGACUGCGGCUUCUGUCUCGGAUGCUGGCAUAACGGCGCAAUACCGCCCGUCUUGA
rnacentral:rRNA from 1 species